AUCUCUGAAUGGCUCAGUUGGUUAGAGCAUGGUGCUGAUAACACCAAGGUUGCAGGUCUGAUCCCCGCAAGGGACA